rnacentral:rRNA from 1 species
GCGCACCAGUCGCGAAUUUUCUCAAUGGGGAAACCCUGAAGGAGCGACGCCGCGUGGAGGAUGAAGGUCUUCGGAUUGUAAACUCCUGUCAUUUGGGAACAAGUUGCAGCGAUUAACUGUCGCUGCAUUGAUAGUACCAGAAGAGGAAGAGACGGCUAACUCUGUGCCAGCAGCCGCGGUAAUACAGAGGUCUCAAGCGUUGUUCGGAUUCAUUGGGCGUAAAGGGUGCGUAGGUGGCGGGGUUAGUCAGGUGUGAAAUCUCGGGGCUCAACCCCGAAACUGCACUUGAUACUGCCUUGCUAGAGUACUGGAGAGGAGAUUGGAAUUUACGGUGUAGCAGUGAAAUGCGUAGAUAUCGUAAGGAAGACCAGUGGCGAAAGGCGAAUCUCUGGACAGUUACUGACACUGAGGCACGAAGGCCAGGGGAGCAAACGGGAUUAGAUACCCGCGUAGU